rnacentral:rRNA from 1 species
GAGCCUUUAACCAGAAGUGGACCCCCCGAGGAACGGACCGCUAGAAACGGCCCCUCCGAGGAUGGACCCCUUAACGAUUGACCUCG